rfam:Haemonchus contortus, ISE/inbred ISE, WGS project CAVP01000000 data, contig: Hcontortus_contig_pathogens_Hcontortus_scaffold_8924
GGCCCAAAUUUAAAAUAGAGUAGAUUAGAAGGAUCAUCUGACUCUACUAAACUUCUCUACUUCGAGUUUGUGCCC